UUUGCACCUGAGGCUUGCGAGGAUGAGAACCUCCGGGGGGCAGAGGUUCGACUCGAGCGAAGCGAGAGAACGUUGCGUCAGCAACGGCCCGAAGGGCGAGCCACGGAGUGGCGAGUCAUCCUCUAUCACUGACCA
rnacentral:sRNA from 1 species